rnacentral:rRNA from 1 species
UGCCAGCAGCCGCGGUAAUACGGAGGGUGCAAGCGUUGUCCGUAUUUAUUGGGUUUAAAGGGUGCGUAGGCGGACAAUUAAGUCAGUGGUUAAAUACUUCUGCUCAACCGGAGAGGUGCCAUUGAUACUGGUUGUCUAGAGUACAGACGAGGUAGGCGGAAUUUAUGGUGUAGCGGUGAAAUGCAUAGAUACCAUAAAGAACACCGAUAGCGAAGGCAGCUUAAUAGACUGUAAAUGACGCUGAGGCAAGAACUCGUGGGUCGCGAACAGGAUUAGAUC